rnacentral:rRNA from 1 species
UUGGAAAGACCCACCACAGAAGGUAAUAGUCCUGUAUGUUAAACGAGAAGACUUUAGAUAUGAUCCAGAGUACCACGGGACACGUGAAACCCUGUGGGAAGCAGGAGGGACCACCCUCCAAGGCUAAAUACUACCUAGUGACCGAUAGCGUAUAGUACCGUGAGGGAAAGGUGAAAAGAACCCCGGGAGGGGAGUGAAAUAGAACCUGAAACCCUGCACUUACAAGCUGUGGAAGCACAUUUCUUGUGUGACCGCGUACUUUUUGUAGAACGGGCCAACGAGUUACGUUAAGUAGCAAGGUUAAGCACUUAAGGUGCGGAGCCGUAGCGAAAGCGAGUUUUAACUGAGCGUUCAGUUACUUGACGUAGACCCGAAACCGGGCGACCUACCCAUGAGCAGGAUGAAGCGAAAGUAAAAUUUCGUGGAGGUCCGAACCCACGAGCGUUGAAAAGCUCGGGGAUGACUUGUGGGUAGCGGUGAAAUUCCAAUCGAGCCCGGAGAUAGCUGGUUCUCCCCGAAAUAGCUUUAGGGCUAGCCUCAAGGUGAGAGAUACGGAGGUAGAGCACUGAAUGUCCUAGGGGGUAU